GCUUGUGGGUGGAAAGGAUUGGAGAAACACGGUGAAAUGCUGCUGGGUUCUUCCCCUCUUCCUGACAAGGUGAGGGUUGGACCGGGGCAGUGUGAGGAGGAGGAGGAGGAAGAGGAGGAGGAAGACCACCUCAUGGUGGAGAACUCACCGAGGACAGUGUGUGCAGAGGACGUGCGCGGUGUGAGCUUGGUUCAGUGCCUGCAAUCAAUACCAGCUUGCUCAGGAGAAGAGCCACCACUUUCCAGUCAAGAGCUCCUCCUGCCAGGAUAAAAGCUUCCAGCGUGGGAGCGAGGAAUCAGCUCUCUCCUCUCCUGCGAUGCCUGGGGCCGGUGUUGGGAGCCCACAUCGGCUUUCGUGUGGGGAUGGGGGUGGCCGAGGCUUUGCCUGGGGGGCAAGUAGGGGCUGACAAUGCACCGAAGCACUCACACGCCCCCAACGCCGACCGUCACAAAGGGUUAAGUUGCUGCGAUGGAGCUGGGUAAAUCAGGCAGGAAAAUAAUCAGCUCCCAACUGGAGUGGGGAGAUGCUCAGUAUUUUACAGCUUCUUUCAUACACUUUAUAGAAACUAAUGGUUACACAAAUAAUACCUAGGGGAUGAUAACGGGCCAUAAAUAAUUCAGGGUUCUCCGGCACGGAGCUGCUGCGUGCGGGUUUGAGGAGCUCACGGGUGGCUGGGGAGGGGUUGGGGCUGGGUGUCCCCAAAAGAGACACCGGGGAAGGGUCCCCUCUCAGCCCUCUCCCUGCAUUUUCCCCGCCUUUCCGGAUUGGCUCUGCUUUGGAAAAAGCAGUUUCUCUGCUUUUUUUUUUUUUUUUGCUUUUCACCAGCUCCCCUGGUCCCUGUGGAGGUUGCUGGCGAUGCCCUUCCCAUGGGGCUGGGAGAAACUGGAGGUUUCCCAUCCGUGCUGUGACCCCGAGGAAUGGAUGUGUCUCCCUCUGAGCUGAGCAUCUCAGGAGAGCGGCCGCCUCCCCUAAGCCAUGGGUGAUGGCCAGGCACGCAGGGAAACGGCUCUGCACCACUUUUCACCACUAUUUGAGGUUGGUUUUUUUGUUUUUGUUUUUUUUUUUUUGAGAGCCGUUGUGCAGAAUUCCCCAUCUGCGGAUGUCGCGGUUUCAGUCUGACUCUGCCACUAAAUAUUUUGACAGCCUCUUUUCUCACAGCCCGC
rnacentral:lncRNA from 1 species